AAACAUCUUUGCCGGCGAAGCCAAAGUUUGAGCCUUUGAAGGCUCAUGAGAUGUCUGAUGGUCGAGUUCAAUUUAGGAAGGUUUCGGUUCCACCACAUAGGUAUUCACCUCUUAAAAAAGCGUGGAUGGAUAUUUACACUCCUAUAUAUGAGCAAAUGAAGAUUGAUAUCCGUAUGAACCUCAAGGGUAGAAAGGUUGAAUUAAAAACCAGAUCUGAUACACCAGAUGUUAGUAACCUGCAGAAAUGUGCAGAUUUUGUACAUGCCUUCAUGCUAGGCUUUGAUGUUAUAGAUGCUAUUGCACUACUGCGAUUGGAUGAACUAUAUGUGGACUCUUUCGAAAUCAAAGAUGUUAAAACCCUUAGAGGUG
rnacentral:lncRNA from 1 species